rnacentral:rRNA from 1 species
CCUGACAGGGUACUCUGAGUGAUUUCCGCUAAGGGGAUCUUUUGGCACCUCUAAAAAUGGUGCAGAAUAAGGGGUGGGCAAGUCUGGUGUCAGCCGCCGCGGUA